UGGGGAAUUUUGGACAAUGGGCGCAAGCCUGAUCCAGCCAUGCCGCGUGCGGGAAGAAGGCCUUCGGGUUGUAAACCGCUUUUGUCAGGGAAGAAAUCUUCUGAGUUAAUACCUCGGGAGGAUGACGGUACCUGAAGAAUAAGCACCGGCUAACUACGUGCCAGCAGCCGCGGUAAUACGUAGGGUGCAAGCGUUAAUCGGAAUUACUGGGCGUAAAGCGUGCGCAGGCGGUUUUGUAAGACAGAGGUGAAAUCCCCGGGCUCAACCUGGGAACUGCCUUUGUGACUGCAAGGCUUGAGUGCGGCAGAGGGGGAUGGAAUUCCGCGUGUAGCAGUGAAAUGCGUAGAUAUGCGGAGGAACACCGAUGGCGAAGGCAAUCCCCUGGGCCUGCACUGACGCUCAUGCACGAAAGCGUGGGGAGCAAACAGAUUAGAUACCCUGGUAGUCCACGCCCUAAACGAUGUCAACUGGUUGUUGGGAAGGUUCCUUCUCAGUAACGUAGCUAACGCGUGAAGUUGACCGCCUGGGGAGUACGGCCGCAAGGUUG
rnacentral:rRNA from 1 species